GAUUAUUUAGCUCAGCCAGUAGACCACGAGACUCUUAAUCUCAGGGUUGUGGAUUCGAGCCUCACACUGAACA